GUGGGGAAUUUUGGACAAUGGGGGCAACCCUGAUCCAGCAAUGCCGCGUGAGUGAAGAAGGCCUUCGGGUUGUAAAGCUCUUUUGUCAGGGAAGAAACGGCCGAGGCGAAUACCCUUGGCUAAUGACGGUACCUGAAGAAUAAGCACCGGCUAACUACGUGCCAGCAGCCGCGGUAAUACGUAGGGUGCAAGCGUUAAUCGGAAUUACUGGGCGUAAAGCGUGCGCAGGCGGUUUUGUAAGUCUGACGUGAAAUCCCCGGGCUCAACCUGGGAAUUGCGUUGGAGACUGCAAGGCUGGAGUCUGGCAGAGGGGGGUAGAAUUCCACGUGUAGCAGUGAAAUGCGUAGAGAUGUGGAGGAACACCGAUGGCGAAGGCAGCCCCCUGGGUCAAGACUGACGCUCAUGCACGAAAGCGUGGGGAGCAAACAGG
rnacentral:rRNA from 1 species